rnacentral:rRNA from 1 species
CGACCACAAGGGGGCCUAGGCCUUCUUGUAAACCUCUUUCGACAGGGACGAAGCGCAAGUGACGGUACCUGUAGAAGAAGCGGCCAACUACGUGCCAGCAGCCGCGGUAAUACGUAGGGUGCGAGCGUUGUCCGGAAUUACUGGGCGUAAAGAGCUUGUAGGCGGCUUGUCGCGUCGAUCGUGAAAACUUGGGGCUCAACCCCAAGCUUGCGGUCGAUACGGGCAGGCUUGAGUACUUCAGGGGAGACUGGAAUUCCUGGUGUAGCGGUGAAAUGCGCAGAUAUCAGGAGGAACACCGGUGGCGAAGGCGGGUCUCUGGGAAGUAACUGACGCUGAGAAGCGAAAGCGUGGGUAGCGAACAGGAUUAGAUACCCUGGUAGUGGUUGUAAACCUCUUUCGACAGG